UUCUGUUCUUAGCUGCAUUAGCUCAAAUCACAGCAUAUUGACAUGUCAUGAUCAUGCAUCAUAUUGUGCAUUGCAUUGAUUGUGUUCUUUCUGUGUUUGCCGGUGGUUGUUCCCCCUCGGUAGACGUAUGUUCCGAUGAUGAGUUCGAUGACACCGAUGAAGAGCUAUAUCAUCUUCAGAAGUGCCAGGCAAGCAAAACCCCCUUGCUCAUUCCGAUACAAUCCCACUAUCUCGCUCCUGCUCUCUUUUACUGCAUUAGGACAACAUCGAUUCAACUGUUACAUGCUGCGGUAGCUGAACCCCUUUUCCUCUGCAUGACCUGUCAUUGCCACAGUAAAUAGAUGAAACCCACUAGCAUGGGUAGGAGUUGUUUGAGCCCUGAUGUGCCUACUCAUUCAUGCUUGUUUGUCAUGCCUGCUACUGCUUAGAGUUGAGUCAGGUCUGAUUCAUCGGGGAUGAAUUGGAAUGGUGAUGAACAUGUCCUACUGGGUGUGAGCUAAGUGUGUGAACACGAUUUGGUAAAGGUAUCGAUGAGAGGCCAUGUAGGAGUACAUGGUGGGUUGUUUCAUUGGAACCGUCCUUAAGCACUGAGACCUGUAUGUGUGAUUUAAGAUUCAGCUACUACCAUGCAUUGGGCCCGAAACCAAUGGACCCUCUCGGCUUCUUAUCCACCCUUGUCCUCAGUCCAGGAGUUGCAAGUAGUUUCUGGUGUUUGUAGUAUGCUGGAGGCCGUGCGCAGCGCUGACCCGAGGGGUGGGCUGUGAUGCGGUAGGCACGUGGCCGGGCAUGCCGGGCACCCGUUUGGUGUCUCGGAACCCUGUACACAUCGUUCGGGGCCGUAUGUGGAAACCUCGGCCGGACUCCCUGCGGAUGGAACCUGAAUAGGCGAUAAACCUUGACUAGAAGCUUGAGUGUUUAGGUAGGCCGUGGCCGACACCCUCGCUGGGCUUCCGCUUGAAGGUUGCCGAGUACAUGUCGUGUAAAUGGCGAUAAGUGGUGAGAGCGUGUGUGAAGAAGUACACCCCUGCAGGGUUAACAUCAUCUAUUCGAAUAGCCGCGUCCGCGGUAAAGGACUACUUGGUUGCCUAUACAGUUCAUAGACAAGUGAAAGUGGAUACUCUAAAACUCGCAAGAUAAGCGUGAGUGCUAUGGAUGGCCUUCUCGUAGGGAGACAGGAGCGGAUCCAUAGUGGUGUAUUGAUAUGGUGAAUAUGUGGACUCGUGUGCGCCACCUCAAAAGAGUUACUUGCAGUCAUAGUUUAGGAUAGCCACUGAGUCAAAGCUGGCUUGUUGAAGUCAAACUCCACCACCCCCUUUGUUGAUACUGAUGCAUAUGUAGCUAGUUCUGAUGUAAGUCUUGCUGGGUACAUUUGUACUCACGUUUGCCUAUUUUAUGUUUUGCAGAGAGACGACAUUCUCGCUAGUAGUUCCGUGUGGACUUCGACGUUUAGCUUGAUACCUCAACUACGAUCUUGUGCCCUCGGCAGGAUCUGGUAGAUAGUCAGGCUUCUCAGCCUUUUUCAUUUGUAGAUGUCUGUACUCAGACAUGUUAAGCUUCCGCAUGUGCUUUGACUUGUAUGCUCUGAAUGUUGGGUCAUGAGACCCAUGUUUAUAAUAUCUUGGCUCCUCGGAGCCUAAUGAAUAAAUACUUGAGUCGUAGAGUUAUG
rnacentral:lncRNA from 1 species